rnacentral:rRNA from 1 species
CGCCCGUCGCUCCUACCGAUUGGGUGUGCUGGUGAAGCGUUCGGAUUGGAGUUGGUGGGUGGUUCGCCGCCUGCCCUCUCUGAGAAGUUCGUUAAACCCUCCCACCUAGAGGAAGGAGAAGUCGUAACAAGGUUUCC